AAGUUACAAAACAGUCCCCAGAGAAAUGAUGCACUUCAAUAUGUCAUAGUUUCUACACUAUGAUGAAUUAGAAUGUCUCAAACACUAGACUGCAGAAACUUUCCAGAGAAUUCUGGUAGAUGGAGCAUAUUCUACACAUAGUAGGUUACAAACAUAAUGUGUGAAGAUAAAAAAGAUAAACCAGAAAAAGCGUGAGUUCAAUGAAAUUUUAAUAAGAAUGUCUAGGUUUGGGUGACUCCACUGAUCCGGUGUCUGCUGAGAUCACUGUCAUGGAGGGCAUCACGGUGUUGGAUGCAUGAAUGAAGGAAAUCACAAGUACCGGGAAUCAAACUCAUGACCUCGCGCUUGCCAGGUAUUUAAUUUAAUUUAUUGGAAAAAAAAAUCACAUUCAAAACCGAGGACAAGAAGUAGGAAAAAUCACUGCAGAUGUGGAGAGAGAUUUAGUAAGAUGUGAAGUGUAACAGUAGAAUGAACGUAGUGGGCUAGGCAAGCCAAGCCUGGGAUUAAUGACACAGACAGGCAUAUUCAACACGGAGCAACAGCAUCUGUGCCUGUGAUAGUAUCAUCAUCACUUUCUAGACAGCUGUACGUCCACAUGAGCGAGCAGAAGAAGACCCAGCCCGUAUUUCCCACUAAUGACAAAAUUAGCCAUCCAACCUCAAUAUACUUACAUGGAAACAGUGUUUCAGCGUUCUUUCUUAAUAACUAAGCUGUAGUUACAGCCCCCUUUUCUACUUGACUCCAUGAUGCUCAUA